rfam:Capsicum annuum cultivar Zunla-1 chromosome 5, whole genome shotgun sequence
ACCUCGUGGUUGGGACAUUGCAUAAGUUUUUUAUUAAAUCUCUCCCACACUUCAUAUAGAGUCUCUCCAUUCAAUUGAAAAAAGUUUGUGAUUUCAUCAUGCAAUU